rnacentral:snRNA from 1 species
GGAUGUGAGGGCGAUCUGGCUGCGACAUCUGUCAUCCCAUUGAUCACCAGGGUUGAUUCGGCUGAUCUGGCUGGCUAGGCAGGUGUCCCCUUCCUCCCUCACUGCUCCAUGUGCAUCCCUCCCGAAGCUGCACGCUUGGUCGAAGAGGAUGACCAUCCCCGAUAGAGGAGGACCGUUCUUUGGUCAAGGGUAUACGAGUAGCUGUGCUCCCCUGCUAGAACCUCCAAACAAGCUCUCAAAGAAAUUAUUUGUGUUUUCUGCUGAUCUGGUCAAGCUUUAAGUACUACUAAGUCAGAGUUCAUUUACAUAUUUGCUUAUGUGUCUUAAAUG